UGUUCUAUGGCUUAAUUGGUUACAGCGCCGGACUAGCGAUACAGAGUCGUGGGUUCGAAUCCCACUGAAAGAA
rnacentral:tRNA from 1 species